CGAACGCUGGCGGCGUGCUUAACACAUGCAAGUCGAACGGUGAAGCGCCUUCCUUUUUGGUGGGUGUGGAUGAGUGGCGAACGGGUGAGUAACACGUGAGUAACCUGCCCCCUUCUUCUGGAUAACCGCAUGAAAGUGUGGCUAAUACGGGAUAUUCUGGGUCUGUCGCAUGAUGGGUCUGGGAAAGAUAUUGUUUCGGUGGGGGAUGGGCUCGCGGCCUAUCAGCUUGUUGGUGGGGUGAUGGCCUACCAAGGCGGUGACGGGUAGCCGGCCUGAGAGGGUGGACGGUCACACUGGGACUGAGACACGGCCCAGACUCCUACGGGAGGCAGCAGUGGGGAAUAUUGCACAAUGGGCGCAAGCCUGAUGCAGCGACGCCGCGUGAGGGAUGGAGGCCUUCGGGUUGUGAACCUCUUUCGCCAGUGAAGCAGGCCUGCCUCGUUUGUGGGUGGGUUGACUGUAGCUGGAUAAGAAGCGCCGGCUAACUACGUG
rnacentral:rRNA from 1 species